UGCAAGUCCAUUGACGUAGUUGACCCCAUCUUAUUCCUGAAGCUGCUCGAUAUACUUGAAGUUCUUUAAAAUAAUACUCUUUGUCCGUUCGAAAACUUAAAUCACAAAGCCAUACUAGCCUGUUGUGAAACAAUGAUUCGUCAAAAUCAACAGUCCAAUUAGAAUUGAAGUCUGUUAAUUUUUGGGUUCCGGUAUACUCGCUAUAAGUACUACGACAAAGAUAGUACAGAGGAAUACCAGAAGGUCCAGAACUGAGUUGGUUAUUAACUAUUAUACGAUUCUUUUCAUGAGCUUCAUCCAACCCGACAAACAAGAAAAAAAUUAACAAAAAAACUAUAGGAUGAUCCAUUUUUUAUUUUGUAUAGA
rnacentral:lncRNA from 1 species